GGACGGAGGCCGCGCUCGGGCAGUCCCGCGGCUCGGCCCUGGGUUAGCUCUGGCGACCGUCUCGGCGCUCGCGGGCGGGGGAUCGCAGCGUGUGGAUGGCUGUGGGUGGUAGGGCGCCUAGGCGUCACCAUGGCAACCGAUGCCCUCCCCCGGGCGCGUGACGUCACACUCCCCCGGCGGCACGUGACGUGGCGCUGCGGGAGGAAGUCGGGGGUCCGGGCCGGAGGCGCCCCGUGCCGCCGGAGCGCGGGCGGUCCCGCCCCGGCCCGCGCGCUUUGUUCUUUGUUCUGGUCCAGGCGAGGGUGGCGCCCGGCCGGCCCGCCGACAGAUACCUCCCGCCACGCGCGGCAACAGGUGUGCCCGCUGGUGUCGCCUCGAGCGCGGGUGGCUGGCCAGGUAUCGCAGCGUCCACUAGCGCGCCGGGCCGCGAUGAGCGCCUGACAUGGAAGGUCUGUCCUCUGCCAAUUCUGCCCUUCUCCAGGGGGGAUGUCCCCUCUUCCCUGUGGCUAAGUUUCAGUUCGGCCUCUCCAGCCUUUCCUGCUCGCCCGUGCUUGGCAUCUUGCUGUGCUGCAGGGACGGCAGAGCAAAAGAACUCAGUUCUUCACCAAAUAGACCAAAAUCACCACUAGAAACAAAGCAGGAAUCCGUGACCUUUAAGGAUGUGGUAGUGGACUUCACCCAGGAAGAAUGGAAGCAGCUGGACCCUGGACAGAGAGAUUUGUUCAGGGACGUGACACUGGAAAACUACACACACCUGGUCUCCAUAGGACUGCAAGUUUCCAAACCUGACGUAAUUUCCCAGUUGGAGCAAGGGACAGAGCCGUGGACUGUGGAGCCUGGGCCUGGUGUGGCCGUGGGCGCCUGUGGAGACUGGGAACCAAGAUGUGAAAACAGUGCCUCUCCUCCAGAAGUGGACAUUGCUGAAGGGGAGCAGCUUUCAGAGGCACUAGAGGAAAAACUCAGAAGGGAGGGUCCUUGGAAUCCCAGCAUCUUAGAUGCUUGGAAGUCUGAAGGCAAUCUAGGGAGGCAGCAGAUGCCGCCAAGGAAGAAACUGCAGGUCACUGAAAAGACGGCACCUGUGUGGGAGAGAGGCCCUGCGAAUACCGAAUUCGAGAAAAGCAGUGUGCACUCACACGCUGUAACGCAGCGGGAAACAUCCCCAGGACAGACCUCUGCUAAGACAGGCGUCAAGCAGAAUUCACCUCCAGUUAAAAAAGAGAAAUCUUGUAAAUGCAAUGAAUGUGGUAAAGCUUUCAACUAUUGUUCAGCUCUUAUUCGCCACCAGCGAACACAUACUGGAGAAAAACCCUACAAAUGUAACGAAUGUGAAAAGGCUUUCAGCCGAAGUGAAAACCUUAUAAACCAUCAAAGAAUCCAUACUGGAGACAAACCGUACAAAUGUGAGCAGUGUGGGAAGGGUUUCAUUGAAGGACCCUCACUUACCCAACAUCAGAGAAUCCACACUGGAGAAAAACCCUAUAAGUGUGACGAGUGUGGGAAAGCCUUCAGCCAGAGGACCCACCUUGUGCAGCACCAGAGAAUCCACACUGGGGAGAAGCCGUAUACUUGUAACGAGUGUGGGAAGGCGUUCAGCCAGAGAGGCCACUUCAUGGAGCAUCAGAAAAUCCACACAGGAGAAAAGCCUUUUAAAUGCGAUGAGUGUGAUAAAACCUUCACCCGGAGCACACACCUUACCCAACACCAAAAAAUCCAUACUGGCGAGAAAACCUACAAAUGCAACGAGUGUGGGAAGGCCUUCAACGGGCCCUCCACAUUCAUCCGGCACCACAUGAUUCACACUGGGGAGAAGCCCUAUGAGUGCAGCGAGUGUGGGAAAGCCUUCAGCCAGCACUCGAACCUCACUCAGCACCAAAAGACCCACACCGGGGAGAAGCCCUACGAUUGUGCAGAAUGUGGGAAAUCUUUUAGUUACUGGUCAUCCCUUGCCCAGCAUCUGAAAAUUCAUACUGGAGAAAAACCUUACAAAUGCAACGAAUGUGGAAAGGCCUUCAGCUACUGCUCCUCCCUCACCCAGCAUCGGAGAAUCCACACCCGAGAAAAACCCUUUGAGUGCAGUGAGUGUGGAAAGGCCUUCAGUUAUCUCUCCAACCUGAAUCAGCAUCAGAAAACACACACCCAGGAGAAAGCCUACGAGUGUAAGGAGUGUGGGAAAGCCUUCAUUCGGAGUUCCUCUCUCGCCAAGCAUGAGAGAAUCCACACUGGGGAGAAACCCUACCAGUGUCACGAGUGCGGGAAAACCUUUAGCUAUGGCUCAUCCCUUAUUCAGCACAGGAAGAUCCAUACCGGGGAGAGGCCAUACAAGUGCAACGAGUGUGGGCGGGCCUUCAACCAGAACAUACACCUCACGCAGCACAAGAGGAUCCACACAGGAGCGAAGCCUUACGCAUGUGCAGAGUGUGGGAAGGCCUUCCGGCACUGUUCAUCUCUUGCUCAGCACCAGAAAACCCACACAGAGGAAAAGCCCUACCAGUGCGGUAAAUGUGACAAGACGUUCAGCCAGAGCUCCCACCUGACGCAGCACCAGCGCAUCCACACUGGAGAGAAGCCCUACAAGUGCAGCGAGUGCAACAGAGCCUUCAGCCGGAGCACGCAUCUGACAGAACACCAGAACACGCACAGCGGGCAGAAGCCAUACACCUGCAGCGAGUGCCGGAAGACCUUCAGCCAGAGCGCGUACCUUGCCCAGCACCAGAGGGUCCACUCUGGGGAGAAGCCCUUCGGCUGUGCCGGCUGCGGGAAAGCCUUCCGGUACCGCUCGGCGCUCAACAAGCACCAGAGGCUGCACCCUGGUGUCUGCCUGUCCUAGGGGCCCCAAGAUCCUGAGGAAGCAGAGUGGACAGAGUGACCGCUGAACUUUCACCAUCACGCUGGGAUGGAAAGUACGAUGGGUUGAACUGAUGGAUUGUUACUCAAACAACUUGGUGACAUAAACUCAACUAUUUUACGUGGAAUGAAGGAUUUGAAUAGAUGAUUUCAAAGAUGUUCUGGAGAGAGGAGAGAAAGGCGGACCAGCGUGAAUGGCCUGACAGUGGGAUCAGACCUGGGCUCCGCGCUCCACCGUCUGCUCAGAUGGGUUUCCAGAGCGGUGUCCAGCCUGAGAAGGGGCAGACCAGCCCUGAACAGUUCGGAGGACUCGUGCUCCUCUUGGCCUCUGAGAAGUGAGGGCCAAAUCUGGAGCCACAGCUCAGAAGGUCAGAUGGACCCACUGUUGCCAUGGAGACCGGGAACCAAGGGCUGGGCCCACUGGUGAAGGAAGGUAUUUUCAGGGGUCUCUUCAUGUUUGGCCUCUUAUUUUCUUCACUGUACUUGUAGGAAGAGUCUCAGCAAGGAACUGACCACAUAUUCAAGAAAUUUAGUUGGAGAAUGUGUAACCAAAGGCGAGUGGACCCCCAACAUCUAGCACCUAUAGAAACUGUUACCACACUGAGCCCGACAGAGCAAGGGCUUAACUCGCAAACUUGAUGGUUAAAACAAUAAAGACUUAUUCUUGUAGUUCUGAAGUCCAGAAGUCUGAAAAUCAGCAUCAUGGGCCAAAGGAAGGUGUUGGCAACCCCCUGGACAGACCGUUCCCUGCCUGUCUGAGCUGGGGAUGCCCAGUCCCCUGGGCUCAAGGGGGCAUUGCCCCAGUCUCUGCCUCCACUGCCUCCUCCCCUUUGGUGCCUGACAGGUUCAUCUCCCCGUCUCAAGAUCCUCAACCACAUUGGCAACAUUUGUUUUGGAUGUGUAAGCUAACAUCUACAGGCUCCAGGAAUUAGGGUACCCAGACCCACUGGGGGGAUAACUCUGACCUUUCCGGUCUUCCACCCUUGGCCACUGAAAUUCAGAUUACGUCAUCUCAAAAUAAGCAGCUCUAGCAUGUCGACUGUGUUGACUUAAGGCCACUUAAAAAUAACAGGCAAGAAGGGCCAGGCAUUUAGCUCAGUGGUGCUGUCACCUGCCUCGCAAGUGCAAGGUCCAGAGUUCCAUCUCCAGUACCAAAAAAACAGACAAGAAAUGGUCACUCUGACCUUUCUUAAAAGCAGGAGAUGAAAAAAGAAAAACAGGAGAUGAAAUUCCCAUGUGGAAGAUGUCUCCCCUAUACCGGAAGGAAAGGCACAUUCCUCUCUCUUAUCAAGGAUGAGGGAAAUCUGAGCAAUCACUGUUACACUAAACUUCACCUUCUUGUUUAUGUCCUCACCAAAUUAACUGUUCUAGCCUAAGACCCUUUCCUUGCCAUAUUUCACAGCUUACUUCUCUUUGUCCCACUCAGUAUAUAGCUGUCCAACUCUAACUGCUUCUUUGAUUCAUUUCCUUAUGAAGAAUCCUAUGCUGUUAAAAAUGUACUAAAUAAAUUUGUAUGUUUCUCAC